GGAAGCAGCAGCAUCUGCAGUAAUGGAGAUCAGCUGGGGAGUCUAAGCAAAAGCCAAGAGUUUUGGACACCAAGAAAACAGUCCUUCCCACUCUCUGCCUCAUGGAAGCAAAGACAUUGUGCCCAUGGAUGUAGGGCCCCAGGGUGGUUUUAAAUUAGCUGAAGACGCCUGCAUGAAGUUUGACUGCAAGAACAGUGUGUUGGAUUGCAAGUGCUACAGGGGAGCCAAACUCUCUCUGGUUGGAAGAGGAAUGAUAGCCACUGGUGAGGCUCUGCUCAGCGCCGGGGAAGGAUGAGAGCCCCUCUCAGCACCCUGAUGCAUUUAUUAGGUGAGGUGAUGGCAGAAACCGAGGAAGCUGAAAUAGAUCUACUGCAGUUUUACAGGUGAGGCAAUGUUAGCAGGAAAUGACAAGCAGACUAUAGUUAUUAUAAU